CCUACGGGAGGCAGCAGUGGGGAAUUUUGGACAAUGGGGGCAACCCUGAUCCAGCCAUUUCGCGUGUGCGAUGAAGGCCUUCGGGUUGUAAAGCACUUUUGGCAGGGAAGAAAAGGAUUGGGCUAAUACCCUGAUUCGCUGACGGUACCUGCAGAAUAAGCACCGGCUAACUACGUGCCAGCAGCCGCGGUAAUACGUAGGGUGCAAGCGUUAAUCGGAAUUACUGGGCGUAAAGCGUGCGCAGGCGGUUCGGAAAGAAGGAUGUGAAAUCCCAGGGCUUAACCUUGGAACUGCAUUUUUAACUACCGGACUAGAGUGUGUCAGAGGGAGGUGGAAUUCCGCGUGUAGCAGUGAAAUGCGUAGAGAUGCGGAGGAACACCGAUGGCGAAGGCAGCCUCCUGGGAUAACACUGACGCUCAGGCACGAAAGCGUGGGGAGCAAACAGGAUUAGAUACCCUUGUAGUC
rnacentral:rRNA from 1 species